UGCGCGCUGCCCCGGGCUGCAGCCGGCGGCGGCGGCGGCGGCGGCGGCGACGGCUGCGGGGGGCGGUGACGUCACAGAGCCGCUCGCCAGCACAACGUUCCAUUGAGGCGAGCGCGUGCUCCGGCGAGCACAUGGGCAGCGGCCCCGCUCCGCGCUGCUCCGCGCCGCCCCGCGCCGCCCGCCCCGGCCGCUGCCCCGGCCCCUGCCCCGGCCCCGGCCCCCGCCCGCGGCCGCCCGGCCUGCGCCGCUCCUUCCCGCCGCGGCGCGCGGUCCUGGUCCUGCUCUUUUCACCAGUCUGGAGCAACGUUUGGAGGAACCCAGCAGCCUGGCCUUUCCAUACCUUCCAAGGAUUUUUAAGAUCGCAGGAUUUACAGACCCGUGAAAACUUCUGGAGGACGUGAGCUGUGGAUAAAAGCCUCUGGAAAUGCCUACCGUCUUCCUUCUUGUUUCUUCUUGGGUGACUUGCAUGUCAUUUGGGAAGAGAGCCUCUCCGUUCUUGGAGGAUUACGUCUAACCAGACACUUGCCAUCCUCACUGGAAUACUUCUGCUAAGUUUUCCCAGGAUGGAGAAAUUACUACACUCAGCUGAAGGAUAUUUUUCCCUUCUCCCAGACCUCUCCCAGAGCGCAGCAGCGCUCUCGUCCAGCAGGUCUUGGUCGACUGCAGAAAGGAGAGAGGAGGAGCAUCUGGAAGGGAGCUCAGAUCCCGCCAGGCUUUCCCGAGAAAUGAGGCACAUCCACAGUUUGAAUGAUGAAGUUUGAUGAGCUCUGAUUUUGGCUUGGAUUACCACCUGUCGAAGGUAUUCUGAACUGUCCAAAAGGUGUUUUGAACUGUCCCGGCAGCCCCUCUCACAGCCUUUGGGAACAGGAUGAUUUUUAAGUUUUUAUCUCCAGUGUUACACAAGGAGAAAGAAUGGAGUUAGCUGCUUGGCACAAGUAAACAAAAUAAAUGCUGUGUUGCUGUUGGGAGACCUCAAAAGGAGAAGAGCCUGCAGUAUAGUUCUCACUUUAGAGAGAUGGAUUUUGCAAAAGAGAAGAAGAGUGCAUGAGGGAAGAUAUAGGAGGAAAGAGAGGCGAGGUGAUGCUACGAGCAAGUUUCCUGACCUCCAAAAUGAGAGUGAUGCUUCGCAACAAGAUCUCUCUGGAAAGUAUGAACCACGAGAGCAGCUUACUCACUAUUAGAUAAGUAUUAUGGAUGACUCAUGUCAGAAUACUGAUAGACAUGCAGCUAACAUGAAUACACUGUUUUGUAAUAGCUGUAACACUAUGCUGAGAGCCAGGAGUCUUAAGCGCCCCCCCUUGCUUUUCCAUUAACUUGCUUUGGUUCUCUGGCAUCUUUUACUCCUUAGUUGGGCCAUCUAAACAACUCAUAGAAGAGUUUUUGCCCCCCCUUCAAAGAGGUACAGGGUAUGGGUCAACUCACCAACAUUAGUAGAUGGCAUCUUCAAAUGGAAGAUACUGUUGAAAGGCUGCAGUAUUGUAGCUAUUCUCCAGGUCAACAUGCAGUUUUUCUCUUUUUAAUGUAUGCAGUUAGUGGCUUUCCUUGUUUCUUUGUGUUUUUGUUUUCUUUCCAGAGCCAUCACUCCUCUCUUCCAACAUGACAGCCUGAAAGGUCCAGAGACAGCGUUUGGUACAGCGAGGCCUCCUGGAAUGGCAUUAUCACUGUAGAAACAGCAGGUGAUGAGAAUGAAGAAGCAAAAGACAAGGAGGGAAAAUGCAUCCCUGGGUGAGAUUCACAUGGAGCUGAGCCGUAAAGGGACUUGCACUGUACUUCGUUUCAGACGGAUCCAGUGAAUUAACAUAUUGUUGCUGCUGCUUGGGUAAUUGCUUGCCCAGGUUCUACUCUGCUCGUGCACAGUCUUCCCUGCUUCCCAGACAGAAAGCAUCCUUCAUGUCCAUCAAACAAGGCUGCAAAGUGUUGCCCUGAGACCUUGCUCAAAGGAAGGAGGUUUUCUAACUAUGGAAGCUCUGCUGGGGAGUUGCAUCAUGUGCUGCUGCCCCUAGAACGGUGCACAUAUAUUUGGGAGUGAUGAAGAACUGCAGUGUACUGCUGCAUAUUGCUUUAGUGAUGAGAGAGGCUCUCUGACAUGUUGUACAGCACCAAAACCCAUGCCAGGGUUGACAGCAAAAAUCCUUAUCAUCUUUGUAUUUUUUUCCAAGACAGCUGAUAUCUGCUGUGGAUUCUUUGUAUGCAAAUCAAGGUGGUACAACUACAACAAAAAAAAGCCCUGAAAGCAGUCACCAAGAUAAACUUGGACCAGUGGGGACAUUCCUGGUUAUCGUUUUUAAACUUUCUGGGUUUUUUUAGUUCUGCACAAGAUACUUCUUUCCCCUCUCUUUCUGCAGCUAUUAAUGUUUGUCCUGGCAGACCUCUUAUUUAUGAAUUACAGUGUUUCUUGCAUUUUAUAUGGCUCCAUAUCAAUAUAUCUGAAUAAAUGGCAGAAAGUGCUGAAAAUUGUCAUUAACAGUCCCUGUGUUUCAGCUUUGCUCUACAUCGCUCUGGUGCUUCCUGAUGUUAAGGCUAGACUUGAACCUCAUAUUGCAAAUUGCCAUAUGCCUGUAGUGAUGAUCUGUCCAGGAAGGUGUGCCCAGGACUCUUCAGAAAGCUCGGGAAAGGAAAGAAGAGAGGUGGAAAACAAAAAGGAGCCAGCUCUGAAAAUGCUUUGACUGAAGGAAUCUAGUUGAAGCAAUAUAUUUUGAGUCCCUUCUGUCUUAGAUUGCUGCAGUUUGAGGAGCAAAGCCUGGUUUCACUGGAAAACUUGGCAAGGGUUUUGGUAGUGACUUAAAAUAGGAGCAGGAUUUGACCCUCCUGAAGCAGCUGAGGAGAUAUCACACUCAACACAGCACUAAUGUGGUGACAUGAGCUUGGUCACCUCCUUGCCCUGGUGCAGCAAACUCACAUCUGCCCCGCUUAUGCCGUAUAAGUAUCACCAUAGCCGCAUGGGACUGAGUCGAGCGCUGUGUGCAUAGGGCUCCUGUUCCUGCUGCCCACAGCGGCAGCAUGCUGAUGCUAGAGCCACAGUGGGAAGUUGUGGGGAGCAAAAAAAGACUUCUGUAAGCAAUUGAGAAAACAGGACAUCUCAGAGCAAAAGAGAACUGCAGAACUUCGUGGCCCAGAGCCUAUUCCAGUCUGCGUCCAGAGAUACUCACCGCGGUCCGCGUCUCGUUGAAUCACACUGUGGUUGCUCUGGCAUGUGUGUGGGUAAUGGUGAUAAUCGUUACAUGUGGUGCUGGGUUUUGUUUUUUGUGGGUUUUUUUUUUAAUGUAAAAUUAACAGUCAGACUCUGUUGGUAGACAGCAAGCCUGUUACGGCUUUUAUCUGCCUCAACCGUGGGGACAAAGGAGGGAAAUUGGCUUGACGAGUUUGGUGGCCAUGCAUCUAACGGUCUGGGAGCUGAAAGCAGAGAACGCAACAGUCAGAUACAUGAACCCAUCUGGGAUUCAACUGAUAAGUUGUGUUUAAAAGCGAAAGACAAUCCUAAAAGAGCUCUGUCAAGUGGCUGAAGCCUCGAAUGCUGAGUCUUUUUUAAAAGGGGAUUUCAUAAGGACUAAUAUGAACAGAAAUGGCUCUUUUGUGGUUUUACACAUUCCAGGCAUGCCAGAACUGUUCCUGUCAAGGAUGGGCAGUCUCUGGGGUUUGGGGUUCUUUUUUUUUUUUCUUUCUUUUUUUUUUUUUUCAAAAUAUUCACCACAAACUAGCAGCUUAAAUAGUGAAAAAUAAAUGAGGGCUGCAAAAUCAUUACAGUAUCAGUAAUGGAAAUUGUAAGGCUAAUACCUAAACUGGCUGUGGCGUUCCACCCAAUCGUCUACGCUGCUGUGUUGCUGGGAUCACUAAUAUUGCCCACUAUGACUGCUUCAUGGUUGAUGACUUAAAAGCAGAGCUUUAACUGUCGGUUACCCAGAACCUCAAAAGAUUGGGUGCCUUUUUUCCAUGUAUAGAAGUAAUACCUUUUCGGCUGAACCAUUGUUUAAUAUGAAUCCCCUUAGUGUCAGUGCAGCUCUAUGGUCAUACAAUAUCUUUAAUUGUGAGAGCAGCAUUAAUUUCCACAGAUCCAUGGGUACAAAAAGGGGAUAUAGGCAUUCUUGCUUAGAUGCACGUAUUUUGGUCUCAAGCAGGCUGUAUCAGGUUAGUUUGCACCUGUCCACUUGACCUACAUGAGAUUUGAAUUGAUUUAAAAGAGUUUCCACACACAAAAUGGCUGUCUUAAAUAGUGCCUUAAAACAGUCUGAAGUCUCAUAUGCAGUAAAACAGGAGAUAUUUUGUGUAGACCUGACAUGUUAGAUAGGUGUUUAAUUCAUAAGCCUGUGUAACUUAUUCUUUUAGGUCUAUAUGCUGCUCCUCUCCCCACGCUCAUGAGUGCCCUGUGGGUAGCAGAAGCUCACGGAUAGUCAGAAAAGUGCUGCCAGGGGCAUUACUGCAGCUCAGCUGCCGUUGCCUAGCUAGCUUGGGUGUCACGGAGAGUACGGCUAUAAGAGCGUGGAAUUAACUGUGGAGGUCAAAACUCCCUGGGGGACCCUACGUAAAGACUCAGCACCUUUCAUCUGCAUUGGACUUCCUGGUGCCAUGACCAUGCUGACUGCAGCGAGCUCGGAGCAGGUCCACCAGUGGUAGCGGUGUAUUUAACUGCUCUGCAGGUGACCCUAAUUCCUCAGCGACAGAGCAGAAAACUGAGCCAGGGUCUUCCUGAAGGAGGCUGAGCCAUUAGGCCAUAGAUAACUGCCCUGAGAGUUUGCUUUUCAGCCUGGAUUCUGCCAUAGCAGCGAGUGCAGGCAAAGUGUGUGAUACAGAGGGCAAGAAAGUGUCUCUUUGAAAGUGGCAAUAAAGAGACACUGUUGGAAUGAACCCUCUGGCUUGGUUUUAUUAAACAUGAAUAUGGUUAUUUAGUGAGGGACGCAUGCUUGGAGGAACAGGAGCGAAAUUAGGACAUGGUGCCUGAACUCCAUUCCCACCCUCGAACGCACGCUGAUGUUACGGAGACAGGAGAAAUCUCAAGGCUGUUACCUGGGCUCUUGUAGGUCUGUGGGUGGAAGAACUUUAAUCUCCAGGGUUGUCAUCAAAUACUUAACUGCCUUGCAAGAUAUAAGGAAGGAAGAACAUGUAUUAAUUUGGCGCACAACAUACUUUUUUUUUUUACCUGAGAGGAGCUUGGUCUUGCAGCCUUCUGUGGCUGUCAUUUUAGGCUUAUUUCCCUAAGAAAAAAAAAAAAAAAAAAAAAGAGGAAGAAGGAAGGAAGGAAAGAGAAAGGAAGAAAGAAAGAAGAAAGAAAGAAAAGGAAAGAAAAAAGGAAGGAAGAAAGAAAAAGAAAGAAAAGGAGAGAAAGAAAGAAAAGGAGAGAAAGAAAGAAAGAAAGAGAGAAAAGGAGAGAAAGAAAGUCAGUCAGUCUCCUUUACCCCAUUGGUGCUUCCAGCCACAGAAAUCUGGAAACAAAAAAUCGGAAAGUAUAGUUAGCAGAGAGCUGUUUUUCUACUGGGCCUAUCUUAUGAUGAAUGAUUUUUGAAGUGGAUUUCACUUUGGCCUUUCAAGGUCUCUGCUGUGGAAAUAUUUAUCAGUGUGAAACUGUAUCAAGCUUUACAAGUGGUAGGAAAAAUUACCUUUAUAACCAAAUAAAUGUUUUUCUUUACAAGUCAUACAAACAGCUGUAUGUUUGGAAAAUUUUUC